UUCGCAUCAACGUGAACUUCAAUUAUCCAUCUUCGUCAAUUGUGUUGGUGAAUAACGAUUCAUCAAGUUUUAGACUUUAGUGUUUGAUAUUUUGGCAAUAACAAUGCGUCAUAUAUUUUGAAUUUUGAUGUUCGACAGAUAAAAUGCGUCACAUGUUUGUCAUGCCAGGGCCAGGGUGUUGGAUUGUUCGCUGAUUUUUCAUCUGUUAUCCUCGUUAGUGGUUGGUGUGAUAUCUGCAUGGUACCUUCGUGAAUCCCUCAGAUAAUUUAUAAGUUUUUUCGGUGGUUUCAUUCUUUGGAUUAUGAAUUGUUGAUGGCGAAGAAAAUUGGAGACUCAAUUGCUAUCAAUUUACUUAUGUCUGUAGGAAUUUAAAAUAGCAGUGUACUUUAGAUAACCGCAAUAUAUCAACUGAAAAAUUUAUCCCUGUCAUCUCUUCUCUUCUCUUCCAACCAUGAAAUAUUUUUCCAUUACACUAAGCUACAUCGUAAUGUUAAUAGGCAGACGAUGAUAAAUUAUUAUCUGCGUACUUACACUAUACCUGCUGCCUAUGGAUUUCCUAAACCGUCUUUCGAUGACGAUCAAAUUUCGUAUAGGUACAAUUUAUUUAUUAUAUGUACAAUUUAACGUUGAAUCAUCGCUGAAAAUAUCGAAUAUUCACCGAUUUGUGACUAUUGUUCCAACGCCGACGACGACGUGAUGAAAUCG